rnacentral:RNase_P_RNA from 1 species
GUGGUGGAGUGCGACGGUCGCGGCCCGCCGUUUGGCGGGUCGAGGAAAGUCCGAGCUCCAUAGGGCAGACUGCCAGGUAACGCCUGGGCGCCGGAAGGCGACGGAAAGGGCCACAGAGAACAGACCGCCUGCCGCAGGGCAGGUAAGGGUGAAACGGUGGGGUAAGAGCCCACCGCGCGACUGGUGACAGUCGCGGCACGGCAACCCCCAGUCGGAGCAAGGCCAAAUAGGCGGCGAGGCCCGGCCCGGGCCGCCUAAGCCGCGGGUAGGCCGCACGAGAUGGCGGGUGACCGUCAUCCCAGAUUGAUGACCGUCCGGCGCCGCGCGCCGAACAGAACUCGGCUUACGGCUCCACCACCCCU